ensembl:lncRNA
UGAACAAUAGGAUUUUGAAGUGAGAGGAAAGAGGGAUACAGUAAAACCAGGUUGCAAACGAAGGGGAGGGAUAAAUAUCUAAUGACAAAAGCUUCUGAGGUCAUUGACUCGCUCACACACACACACACACACACACACACACACACACACAAACACACACGCAUACUAAUCUAAGCAAUCUACAAAGCCAGACAGCAGAUAUUUAGCAAUCAACUAAAUGAGUCUAGUGAACAUUAAUCCAACUUUAACUUAACUUUAACUCCCUGCUGGCAAAAGGUCCCAUAUAUAACUUUCAGAAACUAGCUGCCCUUUAGGCAGCACAUAAGCGCUCUGUGACCUGAUGUCUCUUUGCUUUAGUUGUUUUUUUAGGACAGAUUACUUUAGGGAAAGGCUAAGGCUUGGGUUAAAGUAACACAUUAGUAAGGGAGCCAUCACAUAAUAAUUAGACCAACGUUGACUGUUAGUAGGUAAAAAGAAACAAAGCAGUCUUCUUACAACGUGGACAUUUUGUGGACACAUCCAACAGCAUUACUUUCACUCUUUGUGGACUUUUUCCUCCGUCACUCUUGAUGGACAAGGAGUAAACGUCUUUUCUUGGGAGAACCGUCACUCCUUUUCUGACCUGACUACACUGUUAAUCAGCCUGCAUAUAGAGUUUCAAGACUUCCUUCUAGUCGAGUAUAGCCGAAGACUUACUUUGCCAACCAGAGAACAGAGACAAUCUACCCUCCAGUUAUGUACAGUCAUUACAUUAUCCUCCACUGUCAAUUGUCCCAAGUACUCCCUCGACGUCUAUCGGCUUAAUUCCUCUGUGUUUGCUCUCUCUCUCUCUCUCUCUCUCUCCCGAACCCUGCUUAUUUAAGUUAAUCUAGUCAAUUGCCUUUUUGUAACAGCACUUUAGGGGAACUUUGUUACGACAAUCAUUAUCCUAAGUAGAAAUGAUAUGACUCAUUACUUCUCUGCCUUUGUGCUUCCAAAAGUUUAAAAUAUUUUUUUAAAAUAUUUUUUUCCGUUGUUUUCUCUUAAACAUAGUAAGGUAUGGAUGUGUGAGCACGGCAUAGCUCAAAUUCAAAAUGAAUAUGUAUUAUAAUAUUAUUCAAACCUAUUGUAAAAUGUCCAACUGAUUUACUGUCUACUGCUCCAUGUGGCAAACAUAGGAACAACAGGACCAGCAGCACCAUCAGGUGUGUGGUGUGUUCAUAUGGAUGUGGGUAUCCGGGACGUGAUGUUUACAUGCAACAUAGAUAAAUAAGAUGAUUCCCCUCUAUGUAUAAUAAACGGUAUCCUGGUUACAGAUUACAGCAGUCUGUUUAUGCAGGCCCUUGUCAUGUUUACAAAACCAAACCUAUACUGCACACUUACUGCCACUUGACAGCUUUAUUUUGCAUUUGUUAUCUGCUCCGAUUGCCAACAUCUGUCUGCUUUGAGCUGAUUGCAAAAAAGGUUCCAAAAAGUUUCCAAAAUUUACUGGAAAUGUUCCGCCACCCUUGCAACCCUAAACAGCAUUCUCAACUAUUUUUCAAGAAGAAAAUAGCAACAAAUUCUAAUUAAAUAAAAAAACAGCAUGGAAAUGCAAAGACGAAUACGCAAUGGAAAAAUCCUACGAUUCUGUAGGUAGCAUGUAGGAAAAUGGAAAAACUGAGAUGGGGAGAGACAGGGUUUGAAUGCACUUGGGAAGUAAAGCGGAUUAGACACAGGAGGAAUCAAUAAGGGCGCAGCAGACAAUCACAAGGGUGGGAAAACAAACAAUGGCACAAAGUGAAGUGAGCUGGGAGCACAAGAGGCGGGGAAAUACAAAAUAAAUCAGCAAAUCAACCACCACAAAUAAACAAACGAAAGCAAAGACUGUUAAACAUAGUUGGUAUUAAACAGUGGCGCACUAAAAAUAUGCAGCCUUUUUUAUCGCUGAAAGAUUAAACUGUUCUUCCCAUAAGAGAAUAAUGGCAAAGCCACGACAGAGCAAUCUUACUGCCGGUCACAUGUGGGCAACUUUAUGAAUGUUUAAUCCAUAAUAGUCGCCCUUUCACAAAAGGCUGAGGAGUCUUCCAGUACAUUUAUGGAUCAAAUCACCCGAGUCUCAUGAAAAAAAAAAACACAGGGUCCCCAUUUUCACUCAACAUUAUCCCUAAUCACCUAAACACAAGCAGUUCAUUCAGACCUGUUUGUGAAAGUAGCCACGAGAAUCGAUUGAUGAAGAAUGCGAAACAGAAGACAUAAAAACAAGUUGCGGGUUGCCCAUGAACUUUGGCAUGAGGCAGAGUGCAUAGCAGGGUCAAACUAUCCGAUUUCCAUUAACUUACUGAUCUGUUGUCAAAUAACCCCAUCCCUUGUGCAUUGGUCUCAACUGAGUGCACAAAUCCAGAAAAAAAAGUAGAGUGAAUAGCUGGUACAUUAUUUUGCUUCCAACUUUACUCUUCGGCACCAGAUUAUUGUCAAUGCACAAUAACUAGAAACCGCAAUACUGGUGUGGCCAUCAUAUACCAAAGAAGUUAUCUAGAAAAAUAAUGAUCAUUCAUGUUCAGUAACUUCCUCUGCACCAUGUUUUAAAGUGUGAGACAAUACGAUUGGUCCGAAAGUAUUUGCUGGCAACAAUCCAGUUUUAGAAUUGGAUGAAAUAAAGUGGACGGCAGAGAAUUAAUUGGGUUGGACUUAAUAAAAAAAGAAAAUAAUUCAUUUCUGGUCCGGAGGACGUGUCGCAAAAGGAAAAACGAGUGAAUUGUGAAUGCGAUACAUUUGGCUUGAAUUCAGCUCUAACACCUGGGCAGCAAUGCUGGAACCAAUACUUUUCAUAAAUGUACAUUAAGAGCCUUUUUUGUGUCUGAUACAUUAUUACCGCAGUCAAAUGUUUCGGUUUCUCAUCCACGUGACCCACACCUGCUUAGAUUGUGUGUCUUCUGAGCUCAUGGGAUGAAUUUCCGUUGUUCUGCCUGGGAAGUUUGGGCUUAUCAGAAGGAGGAGAGUGGAAACCACUGUGCACAAUCAAGUCUUCUCAGCGGGGAGGCGCGGGACCUGUUCAGAUGUAGGAAGAUCAAAUACUUCCGAAGCAAAUUUAAAAUGUGUUAUUAUGAGUGAUAAUAUAGAUGAAUUGUGGUGUUAGCUUAUAUUGAUAGGUAUUUCCUAUGGUUUUAAUGCAACUUGGUUCAGAGGAGAAACUGGCUUUGGGGCUGCAGGUUUGUUAAGUUAUGCUUCUUUCUUAAUUUGAGUAGUUUUCUACUCGGAUCACUUCAUUUAAGCCCUUCAUGUUGGGUGGUGGCAUUUACUAUAAUUCCGCACCAGGUGUCCAACUACUUUUCAUCAGUUAAAUUUAGUAAAGGGCUGAUGUUUCAGAAUGAAAAUAAUUGUAACAUUUAUUCAUAAUAAUUAUGACACUGCAAAAGUUGAAGGAUAAUGGCAGUUUGUGAAAGCUUUCUAUGCAAAUUGCCUCUCCCGGAGGGGUAUCCAUCAGUGAAAUUUGUUUUGGUAUCCGGGGCAUAUUUCUUUUUUUCUUUCCUCUAAUUUGUUCUAUCUUGUUUUUUUUCUUUGAGACGGUGUGUUUGUCGUGCCAUAGUGGCCAUCAUUCUUGCAGAUAUCACAGUUGGAGGAGUUUCCAUUAACGGGCAAGGAAAAAUGACCAAAUCCGGCCGGGCUCAGCACCUCGGAUGGCGACUGGGAAUUAAUACAAAAGAGGUGUCUGAUCUCUUCCUCCACAGUGAAUGGAAAAAGGGAAAAUGAGGAGGGGAAACCUGCUUCACAAGCCCCCAAAGGGCAAAGUAAACUUGUAUCUAAAACUAAAUCAGUUCAACAUGGGCUCUCAUGAUCGGACAAUUAUUUUCAGUGGCCAAGUUGCUUUCUAGUCUACACCAGGAAUCCAUGCAUGAAUACGUUCCAGUAGAAAAAUCUGAGUGAAUCUGUUUUCCAAUAUCACUCUUUGGUAAUUAAGAGCACAUUCUGACUAGUGACUGGAAGUUUAUUCUUCUUUUUAAAAGAAAAAAAUCAUUACACACCAACACACAUGUGUUUUGAUGCUGUCUGUCGGCCAUUCUCGGUUUAGAAAUUAAAAUUGUAUAUGGAGGUCUUUUCAUUGUCGAGAGUCAGUUAGCGUGUUCUGUGUUCCUGAUCAGGAUGUCGUCUGGUCGCCUCUCUCUGCAUGUUUAUUGGACAUAUCUUACAAGAAUGGGACCCCGAGGAAGUCCUUUAAAAUGCUGGAGCGGAUCCCAUCCUACUCUCAGGUAGGAUGGGAUACGUGACCAUGGCAUAUGGUCCCAUCAGGCCACGUUGCUUAGCCUGCUGCUACUGUCAUUCAGGCCUGCAGGUGCAAAAAGAGGAUGCAGACUCACAACUGAAUGGCAAACCUUUUAAAGUGCAUUUUGAAAUGUUUUUCUUUUUUUUCUCCAGUGCAAUUAAUUCACAAUGAGGUAGUCAUGCAGUGUACGACUCAUCCCAGAGAACAUUCUGCACCCACGACUUUGCUUAAGUGUUCACUCACUUUAAACUGACAGAGAGAAUUGUCCGUGAAAUUCACCUAAUUUCUUCAGCAGUUUCAUUAUAGUUAUCACGGACGAAGCACUGCAGAAUGUUUGCUCGGUCACCUUACUGGCAAACUGAGGUUGCUUGCAAAAACGACAGCAAAGCCUCUAUCACCAGACAUCAAUGAAAUGCCUUCGCAUAGCCCAUAUCAAUGGGUUGCUUACCACUGAAAACAUUUCUGCAAAAAGCUGAUAAGUAAGAAGCACUAUGUAAUACCUUUAGACUGAGUGCUGCUGGCUCUCAACCCAAACAUACACUGCUGAAGAGCUGAUAAUGGAAAUGUCAUGAUACGUGGAGAGUCACAAAAUUAAAAAAAGACAAACCUUGAGAUGUGUCGUGAUUUUCAUUUUAUUAAAUUGAAGUCCAGAAGCAGUUGCUGAUGGGCCCGAGUGAAAAUAAGAGAAACGGAAUGAACACAGCGGUUGCCACUCCGAAAAAAUGAAAUAUUAUUUCCUUAGGAGAACCUGCUUGGUGAAAAUAUCAAAGACUCACCGCAAACAUUUAAUUUCAGUCUGUGGAUAGUUGUGCUGCAUCAAUAUUUCCUACACUAGAGCCCAUGAGGUCUGGUGGAUGGUCGGACUGCUUGAUUGGUAAGACAGUUGGCUCAUUAACUCACUUCACAUGAAUUGUUCCCCAAAAAUGGGUGAUUAAUACUUAUUGAAGUACCCUGUAAACUCUGUUUUUGUGGUCACAUGCAGGUGCCCGGUUCCCAAAAAAUAUAGUCUCAGAUAAAACUCCUUUAGAGGUUUUAUAAUGCUCUGAACUGCUUAGCAGUCUGAACAAAGAAAACACUAAACGCACAACUCAAAUCUUCAUCACAUGACUGUAUGAUGUUGCCUGAUGAAGUCUAUGGUCAAGGCUCGCUAUAUGGGGAACUCGCCACUACAGAGAGAUUAGCGAGGCCCAGCGAGGAGAUGAAUCAGCACUGUGGGUCCGCUGCUGAGAUCAACCGCUGUUUGUUUGAGUGUGUGUGUGUGUGUGUGUGUGUGUGUGUGUGUGUGUGUGUGAGUGCUACACAAACACAACAGCUUUAAAGACACGCCGGACCACGUGAACGGAGGUUUGCACUUUAUUGGCGAAAACAGGCAAAGAUAAAAGUCAUGCUCUAAAUGCACAUUUCUUUGCUUCGUUAAAGUGACAUAACUGUGUGUGUUUCUGAAAAGGACUGUUUAGCACGUCUUGGGUCAUAUGGCACACAUGUGACAGAUAGAUAGAUGUCAUAUAUCCCACGUGAUGGAUGUCGGAAAAGUUAGGGAGAGGCCCUCAUAGUGGGCUGGGUUAAAAAAAAAAGUCUUUCACCCAUGCGAGUCAGACCAUUAGUCCAUUGCAUUUUCCCUGAUCCAUGUGUUCCUUUGGUUGUCCCCGUCAAUGAAGACAAUGAAGUUGAAUCUGAUUUGACUGCCCUGUAUUCUUAAAACCAAUCUUGGAUUCCAAUUUAAUAGAAAAGCCAAUUUCUUUACUAUCCUCCUAAUGUGACAACAGAUAAUAAGACCGGCGGUUUUUAAUUCAGACUGCUUUGUUAAACCCUUGAGUUUGGCAUUUUGGCCAUCGUCAUCUUGAAUUUUUUGCAACCGGUGAGUGGAAUAGACCUUUUCUACCCCCAAUCUCAAGCUAAAUGGGACCAUAUUUUACUAGAUAAACAUUACACAAGACAGAAGAGAUUGAGACCAUAAAUCUAUAGGGGCGCUUUGGCUUACUACAUUUUGAUAUUGAUAAUAUACAACAUCUAAAAUCUCAGGUUUCAUUUUCAUUUUCAUGAAUGCAAUUUCACUAAUUUGUUAAUUUUUUAUUUCAAAUAUCUAUUAUCAUCCCAAUUGAAUGUGGAAACUGGACGGAUUAUUGCAUCUUAAUUUUUUUUUUCAAGGAGCACAUUUGUAUGUAGCAAAUUCCACUGCUUAUAGUGCAUUACCUACGGGCUUCCACAUUUGCGCCGCCAUUCAGGUCUACACAUUUCAUAGCCAUUCCUGUUAGUAGCUCUAAACGUCUCCCGCUUUUCCCCCAAUCACCUGAUCAUAACCUAUCAGCACACCUGUCCCUCAUUCCCCAGCCACCCAGUGUAGCUGCCCACACACAGUAAUCCUCUGCCAGAGCAGUAAUGUUGUGUCACAUUAGUUUAGAUUCUGGGAGAUAUGUAUCCAAAAGAGAAACGAUGGCUAUAGUUUACAGCACAGCUAAGCAGCAGGAAUUGGUGGCACAGUGAUUAACUUGAAUCAAAUCAUAAAGUUUCCCUUUGAGAGUCAGUGUGAAAAUAGAAGAAAGCCAAGACCAUCAUUCCUUGGUGGAAUAGUUCAUCCUCUUUAGUCUGAGUGAGUGAAUGUCUCGUUUACUUUUAACACAGCAGUUCUCUAUGGAAAUACUGUUUCCCGAGGAAAGUCUUUUUGGUCAAAUUUUUUCUUAUUAAAAACUCUUUUAUUCUACUCUUU